rnacentral:lncRNA from 1 species
AACUUUCCAGUGCUUAGCAUGACAGCAAUUUGGAGGCCUUUUUUGAAUUGUAUAUCGAGGGGACAUGGGGAUUUCUGGGGCUUCUAGGAGGAAAACGGCACCUAAUGUCCUUUCUGAAAGGGAGACUGACCCUUUGGCAGGGCUCGUGAGUUUUAACAAAGACUUGAAACAGCGUGUUGCUUUUCCUUCUUUAUCCGUCUUCCCUGGACAAUGAGCCCAGUCUGGUCUCCCGCUUGGCCUGGGUCCCCUGGAGCCAGCAGCCCUGGGCGGCUGGCAUCAGGGGCUGUGCAUGAGGUACCUCUCCAGCUGGGCAUCUUUCCAGGAGUUGGUGGAGUGAAUGGUGAAAAUUGGGGUACUUCUCUGCUUCCCCAUCCUCUAAGGCAGAAAAGCACAGUUGCACCUCCAAACCAGAGGGAAAAGGCAGGUGCAUCGGAGGGCGGGGGCGUUGCUGGUCCACAGAGCAGGAGAGCCGGCAGGCAGAGGCAGCUGGCAUGAGCAGACUGCCCGUGUGGGAUCCCCUCCGCUCCUGCCGCCCUUCCUGUUUCUCUUGCAACUGGGACAUCAGGUGUGGAAUCAGCUGCCCGGUUCUGUCUGUCGAGUGAAUCUGACUAACACAGCAAGGCCCUGAUCGCCCACAUCGGUGCUCCCAGCAAACCUUCUGUCAUGUCUCUGAUGAUGUUUUCCUGCGGAGGUGAGACCGAGUCGGGCUGGAGGCCAGGCCUGGCCACUGACGUGGAGUGAUUUAUGGCAGAGAAGGUCCAGCCAGCCCAGAGUAUCCAGGUCCAGACGUGAAUUCCACACAGCGUGCCUCGGUAGCUCUGGGUUAAGUCCGCAGACGUCUGCAACGAAUAUGAUUGCAAGUGUGAAGGUGACAUGAUUUACUUAAAUCAGGCAAUUUCUCCAUUACAGCGCAGAAGCCUCAACUCGUAAAGACACUCUUCAGCAGAUGAACUAUAACGUCGCCCGGCAUCCGUCAUAUUAGCCUGCAGGCUCUCAACUUCCCACUCCUCUGCCUGCCCUGGACCUGCUCUGUCUUCAAGCCCAGUCUCCCGCCUGGCCCCGGAGGAGGUCCCCCGAGGCGGAGCGAGGACAGCCCAGCUGAAGCUGACCUUUUCUCAUGGGCGCUGUGUGAGAGCUACCCUCGUCAUCCACACUUGUCUUCCUUAGUCGGAAACAGAAGCUCUGCUGCCCUUCCCUCCCUGCACGGCAGACGUGCGACGUGGCCCUGGAGGAGGCCCCGUGUCCAGGGGCUCCCAACGGCUGAACCCGGCUGGAGGCCCAGGACGCCGUGGAGGGGCAGUCUCUGUGCGGAGAGAGGAUCUGGAGAGGCACAAACCCCCAAGCCCACGGCAGACUUGCAUCCCCUUCAGGAGACGAGCAACCACAUGAAGACUGGGAAUUGUCUGCGUCCUAGUGUGGCCAAGGCCCUGCUGUCCUGUGGCCCCGAACGUCAGCUCCCACGAUGCAGACUUUGCAAGUCUCGUCAUCCACUCUUCCAGAAUGCGGACGAACCGGGCGGAGAACCCCACCCACGCAGGCAUGCAGUGAGAGGGGGAGCCUAGGCUGGGGGUGGUGAGGGGCCAGGACAGAGGGCAGAGUGGGUGACCCGGGGAUUGCCGGCCUUCAGCUGGGGCAGGACGUGUCCAGCUGUGUUCCUCCGUCAGACCCAGGACGCACUGGGUUUCGGUUGGACGGGGCACGGACAGAGGCACAGCGGCGUUAGGCAGAAGCGGUGCGAAGAGACACGAAUAGCACAAACCAAGGGCUGGGAAUGGCCCCAGGCGUGGGGGCAUGUUUGCCUCGUCUCAGUCGCUCAACAAUCCUCAGACGGAGGCAGGGACAGCCUCGGAGUGUUAGAUUAGGGCGGUGGGUCACUGAGGGGUCAUGUCAUUUGCCCAGGCUCACAAAACACUAGUGGGUGGUUGAAACUGAUCUCAGA